rnacentral:tRNA from 1 species
UCCAUGGUGGCUCAGAUGGUAAAGAAUCUGCCUGCAAUGCAGAAGACCCAGGUUUGAUCCCUGGGUUGGGAA